AUUGAACGCUAGCGGGAUGCCUUACACAUGCAAGUCGAACGGAGUGGCGAACGGGUGAGUAAUGUAUCGGAACGUGCCCAGUAGCGGGGGAUAACUACGCGAAAGCGUAGCUAAUACCGCAUACUAUUGGAGCGGCCGAUAUCGGUGUAGCUAGUUGGUGGGGUAACGGCUCACCAAGGCGACGAUCCGUAGCUGGUUUUAGAGGACGACCAGCCACACUGGUACUGAGACACGGCCCAGACGCCUCCGGGAGGCAGCAGUGGGGAAUUUUGGACAAGAGGGGAAGCCCUGAUCCAGCCAUCCCACGUGUGCGAUGAAGGCCUUCGGGUUGUAAAGCACUUAGGGCAGGAAAGCGGUAACUGCAGGAUAAGCACCGGAUAACUACGUGCCAGCAGCCGCGGUAAUUC
rnacentral:rRNA from 1 species